GCCCUCUAGACUCCUUACCCCUCAGAUCUAAACAUUGGUCUGAGUGACUAAAAAAAAGGAGGAAAUGUAACACUGAAGUGGACUUGGAUGCUUUAGUGACAAAGAAGUUCAUUUCAAACAUGG
rnacentral:snoRNA from 1 species